AUUGAAACUGCUUACUUAACUAGUUUGCUUUAAGGGACAUGUCAUUCUAUUACUAAUGUAUAAAUAAGGGGGAAAAGUUUGAGGUAGGGGGACUCUUCAGGACUGGACUCUCCCUCUGGAUGCAUCUUGUGUUCCCCACUAGCAGACGGGCUGCCGCUGUGCCACUCGAGAGCCACACUCAGCUUCGCAGAUGUCACAAUGUAGAGCCAAGAAAGCUCCUGCCUUAGACCUUCACAUCCAAUCCAGGGAAUAUGGAUCUUGCUGCAAAGAGCAGAAGACGUAGCACGGCCUUUGGGCUUGGAGCUGCCCUGUGCACCCAGGGCCGUCCCUCGCAGGGUGCGGGGCCCAGGGCGUAAGUGACAGAUUCGUGUCUUCUGGGACCGAUGGCUCCAGCCAAUCGCACCAGGCCGUGGGGCCCCCAAAGUGCACGGCCCGGAGCGGUCGCCCCGAUUCGCCCUACGCAAGGGAUGGCUCUGUGCGCACCCACCGUUUCCACCUAGAGGCAGGUGAAACAAUAAUAAAAACUGAGCCAAAAAAGUGAGUAGGUCUUGGUCAUUUCUAUACAUAAAAUGUACAAAAGCUGGAAUGUGUCAGAGGGGCUCCAAGAUCUGAUCAGGGCAUGUUAGUGGCUGCAGCGCUCUAAACCCCAACACCAGGAUUGCUAAAGGCUCUCCUCUUUUAGCAGAGGUGUAAGCCUCCCACCAUCCAGGAGCAGAGUCUGGAGUUCCACCCCAACACCACAGAUAUUUAGCUGCUGAUCACAAUGUCUGUUGGACAGCUCACGGACUGGUUACCAGUGACUUAACACAUCAGCCACGUACAAUUCACCAACACACCCUAAAAUGGGGGAUCCUCAAAAACAGCUUUAAAAUAGGGAGGAGACAUGCCACUGAAAGUGAAGAAGAUGGAAGAGGGUAGGAUUCGUCAUUUUAAAUCCUGGAUGAUGACAGAUCAGGCAGCUCAUUUAACAACUGAAAUAUACUUUGCAGAUGGUAAGGGGUUCUGUUAAAGAGUUACCUGGUAUUUGGAUUACCAACAGCGUAGUCUAUCAAUUUUUAUUUUUGUAUUAAAGUUGUUUUUUCCGUC